CCUACGGGAGGCAGCAGUAAGGAAUAUUGGUCAAUGGAGGCAACUCUGAACCAGCCAUGCCGCGUGCAGGAAGAAGGCCCUAUGGGUCGUAAACUGCUUUUGUACCAGAGAAAACCACAGUACGUGUACUGUGUUGAUAGUAUGGUAAGAAUAAGCAUCGGCUAACUUCGUGCCAGCAGCCGCGGUAAGACGAAGGAUGCAAGCGUUAUCCGGAUUCAUUGGGUUUAAAGGGUGCGUAGGCGGACUGAUAAGUCAGUGGUGAAAUCUCUCAGCUUAACUGAGAAACUGCCAUUGAUACUGUUAGUCUAGAGUAUAGAUGACGUUGGCGGAAUAUGACAUGUAGUGGUGAAAUACUUAGAUAUGUCAUAGAACACCGAUUGCGAAGGCAGCUAACGAAACUAUAACUGACGCUGAGGCACGAAAGUGCGGGGGAUCAAACAGGAUUAGAUACCCUGGUAGUCCGCACCGUAAACCGAUGAUUACUCGUUGUUGGCAAUAUGACCCGUCGAGCGACCGACGACGAAGACGAGUAAGUAAGUACCGUUACCGUUACGGGUAGGGUUACGGUUACCGGGCCGGACCGGUUACGGAACGUACCGAACGGAAGUUAGGUUACGGACGGUUGGAGGACGUUACGCCGACGGACGGACGACGAGGGAGGUAGGAG
rnacentral:rRNA from 1 species